GAUGAACGCUGGCGGCGUGCCUAAUACAUGCAAGUCGAGCGAACAGAUGAGGAGCUUGCUCCUCUGACGUUAGCGGCGGACGGGUGAGUAACACGUGGAUAACCUACCUAUAAGACUGGGAUAACUUCGGGAAACCGGAUCUAAUACCGGAUAAUAUAUUGAACCGCAUGGUUCAAUAGUGAAAGACGGUUUUGCUGUCACUUAUAGAUGGAUCCGCGCCGCAUUAGCUAGUUGGUAAGGGAACGGCUUACCAAGGCAACGAUGCGUAGCCGACCUGAGAGGGUGGUCGGCCACAUUGGAACUGAGAAACGGUACAGACUCCUACGGGAGGCAGCAGUAGGGAAUCUUACGCAAUGGGCGAGAGCCUGACGGAGCAACGUCGCGUGAGUGAUGAAGGUCUUCGGAUCGUAAAACUCUGUUAUUAGGGAAGAACAAAUGUGUAAGUAACUAUGCACGUCUUGACGGUACCUAAUCAGAAAGCCACGGCUAACUACGUG
rnacentral:rRNA from 1 species